CACUAAGACUAUUUUGAUCAAAGUUUUGCUGAAUUAAAAUACAAUGAUGCAUCAUCUCUAAUUUUACUUAGAGCGGUCAAUCGCAUCUUGACUCACACUCAGACUUUACAAGUACUUGAUUAUAUCCAGAAACCUUCCAUCAUCGAAUUAAAAAUUUGGAUAGUCUGACACCAAAGCAUAGUGAGUUGCUUGCAAGUCAUCGAGACAGCCUC
rnacentral:lncRNA from 1 species